AAACCAGCACCUCAAGUGGUCAGGAUGAUUAUUGGGCCUAAAGCAUCCGUAGCCUGCUCUGUAAGUUUUCGGUUAAAUCUGUACGCUCAACGUACAGGCUGCCGGAAAUACUGCAGAGCUAGGGAGUGGGAGAGGUAGACGGUACUCGGGAGGAAGUGGUAAAAUGCUUUGAUCUCUCGAUGACCACCUGUGGCGAAGGCGGUCUACCAGAACACGUCCGACGGUGAGGGAUGAAAGCUGGGGGAGCAAACCGGAUUAGAAACCCCAGUAGUCC
rnacentral:rRNA from 1 species